UUCACCACAACACACCAUGGAUCUGUGUCCAGAUUUCCCGUCCACGGAGCAAUCUGUGUUUCGGUUGAGAGCUGGGCAGUUCGACGACUAUGGAGCCAUACGUUUCCCACAUGUAUGGCACACUACGGUGUCCUGUCGACAGAUCUAAGAUUAAUGCUCCGCGCCGGGUGUGGCCUGGGUCUUGAGCUCCCUCUGGUGAGCUCGACCUAGGUCCUGGUUGCGGAGGGCGUCAUAUUCCUGAUCCCUUUGCCGAUUGGCCGUUGGCUAGUGAGGCCAGGGAAUAACCAUGACCAGCCAACAUAC
rnacentral:sRNA from 1 species